rnacentral:rRNA from 1 species
GCCAGACUCCUACGGGAGGCAGCAGUGAGGAAUAUUGGUCAAUGGGCGAGAGCCUGAACCAGCCAAGUCGCGUGAGGGAAGACGGUCCUAUGGAUUGUAAACCUCUUUUGCCGGGGAGCAAAAAGCGGUACGUGUACCGCAUCGAGAGUACCCGGAGAAAAAGCAUCGGCUAACUCCGUGCCAGCAGCCGCGGUAAUACGUAGGUGGCAAGCGUUAUCCGGAUUUACUGGGUGUAAAGGGCGUGUAGGCGGGACUGCAAGUCAGAUGUGAAAAUUGUGGGCUCAACCCAUAACCUGCAUUUGAAACUGUAGUUCUUGAGUGAUGGAGAGGCAGGCGGAAUUCCGUGUGUAGCGGUGAAAUGCGUAGAUAUACGGAGGAACACCAGUGGCGAAGGCGGCCUGCUGGACAUUAACUGACGCUGAGGCGCGAAAGCGUGGGGAGCAAACAGGAUUAGAUACCCGGGUAAC